GACGAACGCUGGCGGCGUGCUUAACACAUGCAAGUCGAACGGAAAGGCCCUGCUUUUGUGGGGUGCUCGAGUGGCGAGCGGGUGAGUAACACGUGAGUAACCUGCCCUUGACUUUGGGAUAACUCCAGGAAACUGGGGCUAAUACCGGAUAGGAGCUCCUGCUGCAUGGUGGGGGUUGGAAAGUUUCGGCGGUUGGGGAUGGACUCGCGGCUUAUCAGCUUGUUGGUGGGGUAGUGGCUUACCAAGGCUUUGACGGGUAGCCGGCCUGAGAGGGUGACCGGCCACAUUGGGACUGAGAUACGGCCCAGACUCCUACGGGAGGCAGCAGUGGGGAAUAUUGCACAAUGGGCGGAAGCCUGAUGCAGCAACGCCGCGUGCGGGAUGACGGCCUUCGGGUUGUAAACCGCUUUCGCCUGUGACGAAGCGUGAGUGACGGUAAUGGGUAAAGAAGCACCGGCUAACUACGUG
rnacentral:rRNA from 1 species